rnacentral:lncRNA from 1 species
GUGUGAUCUUGAUGAAGCCAUCAACUCUCUGAAUCUGCCUCAUCUUAUACAUAAGGAAGAAUUAGACUAAAUCCUGUCAUUUAUUUCUAAAAUUCUGCAGUUCUGUAACAAAGCACAAUGACACACCGAUGAGAUGUGAAGACAAGCCAAGUGCCAUUUCUCUGCCUAAGGGUCCCUGAGGAAGCCACACAGCAAGGAGGUGGAAAGGAGGGCAGGAGAAUGGACCAAAAGGAUCUGGAAAUGUGGUUUCCUUUUUGUGGUGACCCAAGAGCUACCUGACAACUGUGCUGUCCUCUGAAAAGGAACCUCCAAAACCAGAAGCCAAAAUAAGUCUUUGCUCCUUCACAUUGUAUUGUUCGGGUAUUAUGUCAUAGAGAGAAAAAAAAUGACCAACACAGCUGGAGAUACAAACUUGGAAGUCAGCAUGGAAUAUGUUUAAAGAACUUGCCAGUCUGCAUGAUCUGAUCUAAGAGUGUCCCCAUCAGAGGAAGGGGAAGAUAAAGAACAAAGCCACAGGAGUGGAGUGGAGUCUCCUCUAGGCAUGGGCACUAGCCAGUAUAGCAGAGAGACAAGAAGCUAAGGGGCAUCCCAAAGACCAGGCAACCUGGGUUUCUAGAAAGAAGCCUGGUCAGAGUGUGACAGGCAACUGACAACAGUGGCGUUUGAGGACUCCAUUGGAUUGGCCACAAGGGACUUAGCAGCCAAGCUCUGGGCUAUUCUGGUGCAAAGCUCUGCCUAGGCGCAUUCUGGAAGAGAUGAAUGGAGCAGCAACAGGGGCAGCCCGUAGGCAAUCCUCUCACAGAAGAGUCUUGAAAGAGAAUCAGAGAUGAUAAGCAACGUAUGGAGGGGGAUUUCAUCAAAGAGAGGGACACUGUGGAUGGAAGACAUUGCAGCAAGCUGUGGCUGCAGUGCAUGGUCUAGAAGAGAGGGACAACUCAGCCACACAGAAGGGACAGGAAGAACUGGGGAGGAGAGGACUGGGAGAGAGGGGAGGAGAUGGUCACUUGGCCACGGACAUGGGAGACUCAAAGCCCUCUGGGAAUUGGAACGUUGGGCCCACUUCCUCAUACUUUGGAAGACUCUGAGGAGGACACGUGGGCAAAGUUAAACUGACAACACCGAGCUUCAGAGGAAAAUAAAAGGAUAAACAAAACUGGAAGUUGGGGCCUUUAAGACAGAGGAUGACUGAAAUGCCUUCCCCGCCGGGAGUACAAGAGACGCUGUGCACAGGGAGCUGCAUCUUUAGUACAUUCGAAUUGUCAGUCCUUUAACUGUGACACUUAGCACCAUCUUAUGCAAAAACAGUCGGCUUAGCUAUGUUUCUCAUCACUGCAGGCGCAGGGCAGCUGUGCCCAAGAAGCCCAUGCUGUCUCCUCAGAGAAAGCCUAUCCCUGCUCACCCAGGCCUGAGGUACCUACAGAAUGAGGAUGCACAACUGCCAGAAGACGCGUGUUAAAAGGAUGGAUGGACACGUCUCCAGAAGACUUGCAUUUGGUUCAAGUUCAUCUCUGAUGACUUGAUUGGCAGCUUCCAAACACAUUUAUGAAGAACUCAGCACUGGGCACCGCUCACAGCCACAGCGCUCCUCAGAGGACAGGUGGAGGUCACAAGAAGACACAGCACUUGCUUCUUGUGGUUGUCCGUUUUUUGCUGUUAUAACAAAAUAUCUGAGGCUGGGUAAUAUAUAAAGAAAAGAGGAUUGUUUAGCUCUGUUUUAGAGAUCAAGGGCAUAGUGUCAGCGGGUGGUAUCUGGGGUGACAUCUUCCUAGUGAAUGGCAUCAUGGUAGAAGUUCGUGCAAGAGUAGAAGGUCAUGUGAUGGGACAGGAAGCCAGGGAGAAUUAGGACAGGCCAGCCAUCAUAUUCAUCCACAACCUCCUUAAGAUGCUCAGCCCCAGCUUCCAUGUUGCUAAAGUGUAUAUGGGAGGGGGAGGAAUUGACUUACGCAACUCCCAGUAGGCUCUACCUCCUAAGGGUAUCACUGCAUUAACAUAGCAACACUGGGAAUGAAGCUUCUGACAUAGCAGCCCCAUGGAUACACUCUUACCUUCCCUGGACCAUAUGCCCAUCCAGCCAAACUUUCCCUCUUCACUUUUUAUUCAUCCAAAUUCCGAUUUUCUCACUUAACUUUCACUCUGUGUCUGCUUGGCUUUGCUCCUGACUGUCUCAGGGUCUCUGCAUUUCAGGAGGAUCUGCCUCUUGGAUUGCAGGGCCACGCAGGUGACACACACAUCAGCAUGGUCUUCUGCGAAAACUUCCAGGAGUUGGUAUAGGUUCCCUCUGAAAGCCC